UGUUGUUCAUUUCAUUAUUUUCCGUGCAAUUUCAUUUGUUCUGGACUUCUGAGUUAACAGUAUAAGAUUGCAAAUGCGUUUAGAGUAAAUUCUGAUAUACUCUUUAUUUCAGAUUUUGCUUUGCACUGCAAAUCAGAGUUUACUUGUCUGCUUUGCCCCUACUUUGCCACAGAAUUCUCCACGACAAAAGUUCCAAGGUCAAAUUCUCGCUCGUCGAAGUGACCGAUCUUCUGGAGACCUCUUCUUAGGGUUUAGGCGGGGAUUUUUCAAACAAUGAUUGUUUGAGUGAACAUGGGCUAAUCAGCCUUCUACAGUACAAAGUUGAUUGCUAGUGGAGCUGUGUAAUAACAAUGGUACCUGCAUCAUAAGAGAUAUGAGGUGCUACUAGCUUUCAGUGCACAGUGUAAGCAGAAAAAUCCUUACAAGUAAUGGAAAGAAGCAUUGGAAGGUGGAGGCAACUUGAAGCUUAACAUUUGGUGAUAUUAUAGGACUUCCAGAUUGCCUGCAAGGGAUGGCUGCUCCAACAUCAUUAAUAUACUUCAGGCCCUCAUCAAACCAGUUACAAGUCGUGAGCACUUCAUACAAGUAUAGCCACGUGAUCAAUGGCAUGGCAAUUCGGGUCUUCCAUCUAAUAGGAGACAGCCAGAAGGUGUUGUUAUCGGUGUCAAUUCCACACACGAAAUGGGGCAGCCUCUUUGAAUAGCUUAUGGAGCUCCAUCUAUUGCAACUUGACAUCUAGGACAAAAGUAUAUCCCUUAUUAUUAUUAUUUUUUUUCAAAAUGACAUUUAUUUCCCGUCAUUAACUUUUGGAAGAUCAAAUGAUAACUCCUCCAGGACGGACGUGCUUCUUUUCUUCUCCCUUUCCUUAAUGGAGAAGAAAGGUCAGCGCUUAUCUUCUUCAGUGCUGAUUUGUUAUUUUUUCUUGUUUAUUUGGGUUUUUUGUCAACCCAUUACUGCGAAAAAAGAGGAGAAUUAGGACUAUUUCUGAAUUUUCCAAAGAGAAGCAUAAUUUGAUCAUUAAAGCAAGAAACGUAACUUGGAUACAA